rnacentral:tRNA from 1 species
GCCUGGCUGGCUUAGACAGUAGAGCAUAUGACUCGAUAUCAGGGUUGUGAGUUUGAAUCUCAUGUUGGGUG